rnacentral:rRNA from 1 species
UACGAGGGGAGCAAGCGUUGUUCGGAUUUACUGGGCGUAAAGGGCGCGUAGGCGGUCGUGACAAGUCACUUGUGAAAUCUCCGGGCUUAACUCGGAACGGUCAAGUGAUACUGUCGGACUAGAGUACAGAAGGGGCAACUGGAAUUCUCGGUGUAGCGGUGAAAUGCGUAGAUAUCGAGAGGAACCCCUGCGGCGAAGGCGGGUUGCUGGGCUGAUACUGACGCUGAGGCGCGAAAGCCAGGGGAGCGAACGGG